rnacentral:rRNA from 1 species
AUUGAACGCUGGCGGCAGGCUUAACACAUGCAAGUCGAGCGGGGGAAGGUAGCUUGCUACCGGACCUAGCGGCGGACGGGUGAGUAAUGCUUAGGAAUCUGCCUAUUAGGGGGGGACAACAUCACGAAAGGGAUGAUAAUACCGCAUACGUACUAAGGGAGAAAGCAGGGGAUAUUCGGACCUUGCGCUAAUAGAUGAGCGUAAGUCGGAUUAGCUAGUCGGUGGGGUAAAUGCCUACCAAGGCGACGAUCUGUAGCGGGUCUGAGAGGAUGAUCCGCCACACUGGGACUGAGACACGCCCCAGACUCCUACGGGAGGCAGCAGUGGGGAAUAUUGGACAAUGGGGGGAACCCUGAUCCAGCCAUGCCGCGUGUGUGAAGAAGGCCUUAUGGUUGUAAAGCACUUUAAGCGAGGAGGAGGCUACUUUAGUUAAUACCUGGAGAUAGUGGACGUUACUCGCAGAAUAAGCACCGGCUAACUCUGUGCCAGCCGCCGCCGUAA